rnacentral:rRNA from 1 species
CCUACGGGUGGCAGCAGUAGGGAAUCUUUCACAAUGGGCGAAAGCCUGAUGGAGCAACGCCGCGUGCAGGAUGAAGGCCUUCGGGUUGUAAACUGCUUUUAUCAGCGAGAAAUAUGAUGGUAACUUAUGAAUAAGGAUCGGCUAACUACGUGCCAGCAGCCGCGGUCAUACGUAGGAGCCGAGCAUUAUCCGGGGUGACUGGGUGUAAAGAGUUGCGUAUGUGGCAUGAUAAGUAGCUAGUGAAAACUGUUGGCUCAACCAUUCAGACUAUUAGCUAAACUGUUAAUCUCGAGCGCGUUAGAGGCAUGUGGAAUUUCUAGUGUAGGAGUGAAAUCCGUAGAUAUUAGGAGGAACACCAAGGGCGUAGGCAGGAUGCUGGGACGGUUCUGACACUGAGGCACGAAAGCGUAGGGAGCAAACGGGAUUAGAUACCCGAGUAGUC